GCAGUCGUGACCCUGCUGGAGUACGGGGGGGACCUCCAGCCCCCCGGGGGUUCCCUGACUCUGCUCUGCCGUGGCUCUGGAUUUGAUAUUGGGAGCUUCACCAUGUUCUGGAUCCGCCAAAGACCUGGGAAGGCGCUGGAAUUGCUGGCAGGGAUCUGGACUGACGGCGGCACCGAGUACGCGCCGUCGGUCAAGGGUCGGUUCUCGAUCUCCAGGGACAACGGGCAGAGCUCGGUGACGCUGACCAUGAACAACCUCAAGGACGAGGAUUCCGGUGUUUAUUUCUGCGGCAAAUGGGAAUCCCCAGGGCAAUGGUCACGAGGGAAGGGAGUGGAAAUCUGGGAUGAAAGGUGGAGAUUCGGGGCACAAGGACCCAACUGGGGGAAAGAUGAAUUUUGA